rnacentral:rRNA from 1 species
CCUACGGGAGGCAGCAGUGGGGAAUAUUGGACAAUGGGCGAAAGCCUGAUCCAGCCAUGCCGCGUGUGUGAAGAAGGCCUUCGCGUUGUAAAGCACUUUCAGUGGGGAAGAAAGCCUUGGGGCUAAUACCCUCGAGGAAGGACAUCACCCACAGAAGAAGCACCGGCUAACUCCGUGCCAGCAGCCGCGGUAAUACGGAGGGUGCGAGCGUUAAUCGGAAUUACUGGGCGUAAAGCGCGCGUAGGCGGUCUGAUAAGCCGGUUGUGAAAGCCCCGGGCUCAACCUGGGAACGGCAUCCGGAACUGUCAGGCUAGAGUGCAGGAGAGGAAGGUAGAAUUCCCGGUGUAGCGGUGAAAUGCGUAGAGAUCGGGAGGAAUACCAGUGGCGAAGGCGGCCUUCUGGACUGACACUGACGCUGAGGUGCGAAAGCGUGGGUAGCAAACAGGAUUAGAUACCCUGGUAGUC